UUUUUAUUAUUUUAUAUUUCUGUUUUCUAUUUUUAUUUUAAUAUUUAAUCUUAAUGUUAUAUAAUAAGCUUUAUUGAAAAUUUUUACUUUUUUUAAUCUUAAAUUUAAAAUUUAAGAUUACAUUGUAAUAUAGUUAAAACCUUCAAGAUUAUCUUAAGUAUUAUUAUUAAGCAAUUGCUAAUUUUAACAUUCAUUCUGGCUACGGUUUGCUGUUACGUUUAUAUUGGCCUUGAUCCAGAACAAUGAAUGCCAACCGUUAGAAAAUAAUUUGCGAUCGUUACUAAGGUCAAUGAAGGCUGAAGUUAGUUUGUAAGUUAAUCGGUCAGUCAGUCAGUUGUACAUCAGCAUUUGAAAAUAAUCUAAUUUGUGGUACUUUGUGCAGCAUUCUCGUACCCUCGUGAACUUAUAAAUUUUGUAUCAUUUGUACGUUAAGAUACCAAAAUGGCUACAGAUGCAAAGAAGAGGGUGUGCAUUGUAGGAAGUGGUAAUUGGGGCUCAGCUAUUGCAAAAAUUAUUGGUACCAAUGUAGUAAAAUUUAAUAAUAAAUUUGAAACACGCGUAACAAUGUACGUUUACGAAGAAAUAGUGAAUAGCCAAAAGUUGAGUGAUAUUAUCAAUCAAUUACAUGAAAAUGUGAAAUAUCUUCCUGGGCACAGACUUCCAGAAAAUAUUGUUGCUGUCCCAGAUGUCAUUGAAGCUGCAAAAGAUGCAGAUAUUCUUAUUUUUGUAAUACCUCAUCAAUUCAUAAGAACACUCUGUGCAACUUUACUUGAUAAAAUUAAACCUACUGCAGUCGGAGUAUCACUAAUUAAGGGUUUUGAUCGAGGAGAUGGAGUAAAUAUCGAACUAAUCUCUAAAGUCAUUGAAAAAAAUUUAAGAAUUCAAUGUUACGUUUUAAUGGGUGCUAAUUUAGCUAAUGAAGUUGCUGAAGAGAAGUUUUGCGAGACAACUAUUGGCUGCAGAGACAAACGUCUGGCUCCACUUUUAAAAGAUCUUAUUCAAACCUCCAAUUUCAGAGUUUCAAUUGUUGAAGACUGUGAAGCAGUUGAAGUAUGUGGUGCUUUGAAAAAUAUUGUGGCAUGUGCUGCUGGUUUUGUAGAUGGUAUAGGAUUAGGUGAUAAUACAAAAGCAGCUAUUAUCAGACUUGGAUUAAUAGAAAUGGUUAGAUUUGUAGAUACAUUUUAUACUGGCUCAAAACUUGCAACAUUUUUCGAAAGCUGUGGUGUAGCAGAUUUAAUAACUACAUGCUAUGGUGGAAGAAAUCGUAGAGUUUGCGAACAAUAUGUUAAAACUGGCAAAACUAUUAGACAGCUUGAAGAAGAACUUUUAGCUGGUCAAAAAUUGCAAGGACCAGCUACAGCCGAUGAAGUUCACGGAAUGUUAAAAGCUCGUAAUUUAACAGACAAAUUUCCAUUGUUCACUACAAUACAUCGCAUCUGUACUGAGCAAAUACGACCAGCAGAUUUAAUUAAUGAAAUACGUGCUCAUCCAGAACUACCGUUUGCACCAAAAACAUUGUAUUUGUAUUAAGAACUAUUCUUUUUUUUUUUCCUUUUUUUAUUGAGAACUGUUAAAAUUGUUCUUUAACAAAUGAAAACCCAUUUAUAUCGGGAUAUAACAGAUAGUAUACUAAUACUAUACAUAAUAAUAAUUUACUAACGUAUUCUAUCAACAUACAAGGAUAACAUUCCAAAAAACGAUUGGAGAUACGCAGAAUGCAUAAUUAAAUUAAUUAAUUAAUCUGUAUAAACGUUAUUUUCUGUCAGUAUCACAUUUCAUUUAGAAAUCAUUAAAAA
rnacentral:misc_RNA from 1 species